rnacentral:rRNA from 1 species
ACGGGAGGCAGCAGUGGGGAAUAUUGCACAAUGGGGGAAACCCUGAUGCAGCGACGCCGCGUGAGCGAAGAAGUAUUUCGGUAUGUAAAGCUCUAUCAGCAGGGAAGAAAAUGACGGUACCUGACUAAGAAGCCCCGGCUAACUACGUGCCAGCAGCCGCGGUAAUACGUAGGGGGCAAGCGUUAUCCGGAUUUACUGGGUGUAAAGGGAGCGUAGACGGCAUGGCAAGUCUGAAGUGAAAGCUCGGGGCUCAACCCCGGAACUGCUUUGGAAACUGUCAGGCUAGAGUACCGGAGGGGUAAGCGGAAUUCCUAGUGUAGCGGUGAAAUGCGUAGAUAUUAGGAGGAACACCAGUGGCGAAGGCGGCUCUCUGGACUGUAACUGACACUGAGGCUCGAAAGCGUGGGUAGCAAACAGGAUUAGAUACCCUGGUA